CCUACGGGGGGCAGCAGUAGGGAAUCUUUCACAAUGGGCGAAAGCCUGAUGGAGCAACGCCGCGUGCAGGAUGAAGGCCUUCGGGUUGUAAACUGCUUUUAUAAGCGAGAAAUAUGAUGGUAACUUAUGAAUAAGGAUCGGCUAACUACGUGCCAGCAGCCGCGGUCAUACGUAGGAUCCGAGCAUUAUCCGGAGUGACUGGGUGUAAAGAGUUGCGUAGGUGGCAUAAUAAGUAGCUAGUGAAAACUGGUGGCUCAACCAUUCAGACUAUUAGCUAAACUGUUAAGCUCGAGACCGUUAGGGGUAACUGGAAUUUCUAGUGUAGGAGUGAAAUCCGUAGAUAUUAGAAGGAACACCAAUAGCGUAGGCAGGUUGCUGGGACGGUUCUGACACUAAGGCACGAAAGCGUAGGGAGCAAACGGGAUUAGAUACCCGUGUAGUC
rnacentral:rRNA from 1 species